AAUAUUGCGCAAUGGGCGGAAGCCUGACGCAGCGACGCCGCGUGAGGGAUGACGGCCUUCGGGUUGUAAACCUCUUUCAGCUCUGACGAAGCGAGAGUGACGGUAGGAGCAGAAGAAGCACCGGCCAACUACGUGCCAGCAGCCGCGGUAAUACGUAGGGUGCAAGCGUUGUCCGGAAUUAUUGGGCGUAAAGAGCUCGUAGGCGGUUUGUCGCGUCGAAUGUGAAAACCCGGGGCUCAACUCCGGGCCUGCAUUCGAUACGGGCAGACUAGAGUUCGGUAGGGGAGACUGGAAUUCCUGGUGUAGCGGUGAAAUGCGCAGAUAUCAGGAGGAACACCGGUGGCGAAGGCGGGUCUCUGGGCCGAUACUGACGCUGAGGAGCGAAAGCGUGGGGAGCAA
rnacentral:rRNA from 1 species